UAUCGAAUAACCCGGAACAUCGUUACAUUUACAAGGAUUCCUUAUCAUGGCAGCACUUCAUGCUUAUGAAUUGAAAUUUAAAUCAACAGGUGAAAAUAUGAGAGAGAUGUGGAGAAAAGAAAAUAUCCUCAUGUAAAGAACAUGUCAAAAAUAACGUAGACCAAAAAGUGUCCAAGAAGUGGACAAUAAUAAACUUCCUGUGGAUUAGCAGCGGAUAAUUCUCGAAUAGAAAAGCAUGGAAAAUUAUUAAUCUUCUACUAUUAAAAACAUAAAGCCUAAAUUCAGUGAAUUUUCCAACACAAUACCUGACACACACAAUGAAACGCCUGUAGCGUUUCAAAAAAAGAAAGAAAAUUAUUUAUUUGGGUAUCACAAAAUUAGCAUUAUUAGCACAUAAUCAUGUAAUCAUGUUGGUUCGCCUCAGCAUAAUUUUUGUAGCCUGAAAUAAACGUAUUUUUUAUUUGUAUUUUGAUCUGUGUCUAUUAUUAUGUAAUUAUCCUUCUUUUCUCUCCAGUGGUGUGACCUUACCAGUCUGCUCCAAUUUCGAGUACCUAUGCUCACUUGUGCAAAGUGACGGUGAUAUUGACCGGGACGUAACCAGCCGUAAUUGGAGCCUCAUAUUUCCCUUAAAUUGAAAGGAAAAAUUUAUAAGGCAGUUAUCAGACCAGUCAUAAUGUAGGUAUGGAUCUUAAUGUUGGGCAACGAAAGUAACGGAUGAAAGGAAACUUCAUACGACAGAGAUGCGAAUGUUGAGAUGCAUGUGUAACUAGAUAAAAUAAGGAAUGAGUAUGUGAGAGGAAGUAUGAAAGUAGCAUCAGUUAAUGAGAAAUUACAUAGUUAUAGGUUAGGCUGGUACGGGCAUAUUUUAAGAAGAGAUAAAAUCACGUUACUCAUAGGGCAUUAAAGAUGGAAGUAAAGGGUUCCAGGAAUAGAGGUAGACCUGAGAACAAAUGGAUAAUUUGUAUCAAGUAUAGUGUUAACGGGAAAGGAAUAUCAAGGGAUAUGGCGAAUGACAGAACGAAAAUGGAAGGAACUUAUACACUGUGCCGACCCCACAUGAGUGGGAUAAGGUCAAGAAGAAGAAGAGAAGACACCCAGAGCACUCGCAAUGUAGAUUGUGGAGUAGUGGAUGACGAUGAUUUAUCACGAACAAAUUCGCUAACACAAAAGAUAGCACAUAAGUUAUAAUCUAUUUUAUUGUCCAAAUAAAAAUAGUAAUUUUUCAUGAAAAAGCCUAGAAAAACUGUUAGAAAUUGCUUAGCACUCGAGGGCGAAGGGAAUUUUAAAAAUAUAAAUGAAUUUGGCUUCGAACAAUUUUUAACAAAAACAAUUCAUGUGUGUAUAAGCAGUCAGUGCCAAUAAAAUAAAUAACGGCACGACCUUUAUCUUAACUUAGUAUUAUUAUUAUAUUUAUAUAGUCAAAGGCGAAACCUAUUAUUUACUACAGAUAUUUUUAGUGUUCCGUAGUCCUGUAGACAAGGAACCCUUAUAGUUCCGCCAAGUCCGUCUGUCCGUCUGCGGUCAAACUCAAAAACUAUUAGUAAGUACUAAAAUAAUGUAAUUUGGUAUACUUACAUAAUAAUUACGUUGACAAAAUGGUGUAAUAAAAGUCUAAUAAAAUCUUUUUUUUUUAAUAUUCCAGGCUACCUCCCUUACACGUGAAGUGGAAAUGACUUUAAAAGUUUACGAGUUCUUAGUUGACUGUAUUCUAGUAAAAAACCUCUGCGGAAAACACGGAACCCUAUACUGUGCGUGGUCGCAUUUGGCUGGUGGUGUAAGCGGUCACCAUAGCCUAUGGACAUAACCGCUUUUUGAAGAACUCCAUGUUGCAGUCUCUAGAGUAAACAACGGGACCCUUUGUGAAAACAAUAAAAACGGUCACGACAACCAUUUUUAUAGCAACUGCUUACAUAAUCGAAUCGAAUAAUUUUUAAAUAAUUAAAUUACUAUUAAUCCUAUCAUCAUCAUCAUCAUCAUCCUCUGCAGCCCUCCUCAACCCACUGCUGGGCAUAGGCCACCUUCCGUCUCCGCCAACUAUCUCAGUCCUGAGCCAUUAAUUAAUCCUAUAUGUGAUUUUUUUAGAACUUUGAAUUAAUUUAUUUUUUAAAAUUUCAAAGUUCAAAGACAUCAACGUCUUUAAAGCCUAAGAUUGUUUGCCUGGACGACUAACCAAAAGAGCCACUGUGUUGAUUGCGAGCCUCAGCCACAGAGAUAUAUGACUAUGAUGAUGAAUAAAAUUAUGUCUAAUUUAAAUAUUUAUAUUUCACAAAAUAUUUGACGAAACUGCAUCACUCAAAAGUCACUCAACUGAAUCGAAAACAGACGUACUAAAGUCAUCCUAACUUUUGGCGUAAGAGCGUACUUUUCCAACAGUGGAAGUUUGUAGUUGGUUUUUCACAUGGAAUGCCCACGUUGAUAAUGUCACGCAGAUAGCAUAGAUUGCGUCCUCGAAUUUUGACCGAUGUGUGAGUGUAGGCAGAUGUGCGUCUGUUUUGAAUACGACGCGAUUAACUGGCUUGUACGACGUCCUAUCUUCAGCAAUACAUGCAGAUCCCAUUGUUACAUAAAACCUAUUUUUGGUACUUACGAUUCGAUGCAAAAUUAAAGGUACUUAUGUACGUCCGUGUAAUGUUAAAGUAUCCGAAAUGGUCUGACAACUAGGGAUGCCGAUAACCGUACGACAUGGAGACGGAAAAGAAACUGUGUUACCGGAAAACAUUCAGAUGCAUUCGUAUAUAAAUCCAGCGAAAUUAAAUCUUUUGUUACCUGAGUAGAGACUAUAGUUAUAAGUAUGUACUAAUUACUACUACUACUAAUGUCAUAGUAAAAUACACUUAAGUGAUCAUAGGUUUUAAUUAGUAUUAUACAAAAAUUCCAUUUUUGACACCAACCUUUUCGUCAGCAAACAUUGUUGUCAGAGAGAUCUUAUUGCAUUAAAUGUAUGAUAAAAAUUCAUGUCUGUGCAGUAAACCGUUGAGGAGUUCCCACAUUUGAAGCCACCAUUACAAUACUUAUCAUAAUAAUGCAUUGUCAUCCAAACUAAACAUGUCUACAAAAUUGAGUUGCAAGAUUCCACCUCAGACAUAGGAACACAGCUACAUUGCAACUUAAAUAAGCUUAUAAAAUAGAAGUUCAUAGUAAUUAAUACUUUUUUACUCAAUAUACUCAUGAUAAUAAAAAGAGAUACAAGUAUUAUUGACACACCCACGGAUAUAUCAACGAAUAAGAACGUCUGUCGUCUAAUGUCACUCGUUGAGUGUCAACUUUAGUAAAAUGUUAAAAAAUGUUUUUGAAAAAAUCACCAUGUAUAAAUCAACAAACCCACUGAUAUCACAGAAUAUCUGCCCAAAUUAUAAAUAUAAGACAUCUAAAUCAAUCAAACGCUUCGGAAUUCCCAAAUUGAAGAAGAUUCAGAUAAUGUCCUCAAGAUACGAGAUAGGUGUUCGUGUCGUUUAUUUAAACGGUAGGUCUUCUCCCGUCAUGGUCAUUACGAUUCAGUGUGUGAUUGAGUGAUAUCUGAGAGUCCUUAUUGGAAAUACUAAGACAUAAGAUGUCUGGCCCCGGCGACAACAAGGACCAGAAGCCCUACCGCCCCCCGCCCUACGAGAGGCCCAACGGGGCUCCUGACAACACCAAAGAUCGCCCAAGGGGUUAAAUAUACUCAAUAGGUCGAGGCCUUUGUGACCACAAAAAUGUAGAAUUGGUGUCCAAUUGAUUAUAGCUAAAUAAUAAGCACUGAUAAAAAAAGACUUAUGUAUAUUUCAAUACAAAUUUAGUUUUGUUACAAUCAUGAUUUCAAUUGAUUUUAAAAAUUUUACUUCGUCUUAUACCACUUUUUAAUAAUUUGAAAAAAAUAUAUUGUAAUCAGAAGUGUAGGCAAUUAUUUAAAAAAAAUGAUUUAGAUAAUACUUUAAUUUGUUAGUUGUAAUGUAUUCUAGAA